rnacentral:rRNA from 1 species
UACGUAGGGGGCAAGCGUUGUCCGGAUUUAUUGGGCGUAAAGAGCUCGUAGGCGGUUCGGUAAGUCAGGUGUGAAAUCUCCACGCUCAACGUGGAGGCGCCACCUGAAACUGCCGUGACUCGAGUCCGGUAGGGGAGUGUGGAAUUCCUGGUGUAGCGGUGAAAUGCGCAGAUAUCAGGAGGAACACCGGUGGCGAAGGCGGUUCUCUGGGCAUGUCCUGACGCUGAGGAGCGAAAGUGUGGGGAGCGAACAGG